GAUGAACGCUGGCGGCGUGCCUAAUACAUGCAAGUCGAGCGAACAGACGAGGAGCUUGCUCCUCUGACGUUAGCGGCGGACGGGUGAGUAACACGUGGAUAACCUACCUAUAAGACUGGGAUAACUUCGGGAAACCGGAGCUAAUACCGGAUAAUAUAUUGAACCGCAUGGUUCAAUAGUGAAAGACGGUUUUGCUGUCACUUAUAGAUGGAUCCGCGCCGCAUUAGCUAGUUGGUAAGGUAACGGCUUACCAAGGCAACGAUGCGUAGCCGACCUGAGAGGGUGAUCGGCCACCCGGGAACUGAGACACGGCCCAGACUCCUACGGGAGGCAGCAGUAGGGAAUCUUACGCAAUGGGCGAAAGCCUGACGGAGCAACGCCGCGUGAGUGAUGAAGGACUUCGGAUCGUAAAACUCUGUUAUUAGGGAAGAACAAAUGUGUAAGUAACUAUGCACGUCUUGACGGUACCUAAUCAGAAAGCCACGGCUAACUACGUG
rnacentral:rRNA from 1 species